CUUGGGAGCUCACCCGGCGGCAGUGGGCGAGGUGGGCUGUGGAGAGGAGCAACUGGACUCAGGACAUGAGCAGGAGGAAGGAAGAGGGAGAGUGUGGGACUCCUGUAGCCUGUGACCUUCCCAAAUCAGAAGCACCCAGAGAGAUGGCUAAUCCAGCCAGCUCGCGCCGCCCAUAGCGCUCCUGGUCAUCCCUCCCGCCCGCUCCCACUCACCACCCACCGCAUAGGCACCCCAGCCCCUCCACAAAUGCGCACCUGCUGGUGCCCUGGCCACACCCGAGCCAAAGCCCUUCCUGGCUGGUAGGACGCUCUGCCUUACCUUUCUCCCUCCGGAAAGACUAGCCUUUCACCAGCCCAGGUCAGAGGGCAGCCGGGGGAAUCUUUCCUCCCUCUGUAGUGUGCACGGAAAACUUCCUUCUGGAAUAGCUCACCUGGCUGGAUCCCAUAAUGACCCAAGAGCCCUCAUGGGCUCCGGGGAGACUCCUGCAUUUUACCUACAGACCCUGGCCCUUGGGGCUAGCAAGGCUGAGAUGAGAACAGUAAUAAUACAGGCAGCCCUGGCAGAAGGCGUGUAUUAUCUCAUUAAACGACAGCCUCCUGAUUGCAGGUAAGUGAGAGGGGAGCUAUCAGUGCUGUGUCUCCAGGGCAGCAGGCGUGCAAUAAAGGGUAGUGUUACUGCCGUCGGCCAGCAGGAGCUCAGUGGCCGUUCACUGACGUGAGUGAGUGGACAAGUGAGGCGACUUGAGCAACUCGGCCUCCUUCCGGGGGAUGCAGGGGCCAUGCAUGGCACGGGCUGCAAGCGAGUCCCAGGCUCACGGCCCCUGUCUGGGAACCCGCUGACCUGGCUAUGAAGGGUGCCUCUGAGGGACGUGGAGGACACUACCGGUCUCAACCUGGUUUUCCAACUGCUCAAGUCACCUGAUACUCUGCAGAAGGAGGCUCACCCAGGGCCCUUCCUCCUGCAGGGACAAGCCUGCAGGCCUCUGCCGGAAUCCUUGCUGGAAUCCUUGUGGAAUGGUGCAGGCAGCGAGCUGCAGGCGGCCAGCGCACUGUCACCGCCUGACCGGCAUUAGGCAAUGAGGAAGUCACUUUUGGGUGGCCAGUGGCACACUCUGCCUGAGGCAGGGCCCCGGAGCUCGUAGGCACAGCUCAGGCAGUGCCCUGGGUGUUCACUGUGAGCCAGGCACCAUGCCUGCCUUGUGUCCCGCCCCCAGGAGCUGGCUGUCUGCAGGGAAGGACAGAAUCAGGAACAGUGGCUCUGGGGGAGUGGUGUCCAGGUGGCAUCCCUAAGGCUGGGGCAGGUGUCGAGAAACAGCCCUCUCCCACUGCCCCAGGACUUCUGCCAUGUUAAUACCACUUGGGGUCUUAUUUGCUUAAGGUUUUAAAAAAAAUGGGAAAAAGUUGUUUUUAAAAAAAGAAGCUGAAUCAUAAUUAAAAAGCAACUAAAGAUAAAGUCCUUAGAAAGAAGGGUCUGUCCAUGUGCCUGUUUGAAAUCCCCUCCUAUCCCACACUCUGGGCUCCGUGAU
rnacentral:lncRNA from 1 species